ensembl:lncRNA
GAAAUCGGAUUUGGAUUCUGCUUCACACUCAUGGCUUCCUUCUGGAAAAAAUGAAAUUUUUCCGGCAGAAAGGGCUGGCAUGGGUUUGCUGGCAGUAUCAGUCCUGGGCUCGUAUCAUCUGCUGGCACUCUUCCGGAAACGCGAUCCCCUCCGUUAUCAGAGAGAAAUAAAUAAAUAAACAGCAGGAGAUGUUUUGGCAAGGAAGGAGGAAUCGCACCGAGAGGCGUGCGCAUCCGCACACACAUGCACGCACACAAAUACACACACACACACACACACUCACCUCGGCACGGGGUCCUCACAGCCCGAGCUGCCUGCCGCAGGCAGAGGAGAGAGAGGGAGGUGGCAGCACAGGCACAGGGAGAUGGUUGGGUUUGUUGUUUCGUUUUUAAGUUUUUGUCCUCUGGGCUGAAAGAAAAGCCCAUUUUUAGCAGCUUGUAUUGAAGGCGUAGAAGACAAAGGUGCCUUAUUUGUGAUACAAAUUCCUGCCUGCAUUUGGGGGACCCCUCCAGCGUCUCUACCUGUGCCCCAGGAAUAAGGCGCUGUGUGGAACGCGGCUGAGGACAGCUGGGGGGGACACACCAGCAUCCUAAGGGGGUGCCUGGGGUCCAGCCUGGAUGUGGCAUCCACCAGCACCAGGAGCUCGGUGCAGCGCUCUGAGAAGGGCAGCGCAGAUCACAGCAAGCACGGCAGUAUAACCAUCAAAUAUGGCAAGCAUCAGGAACAGACUGAAGCAUGGAGAAUGGCAGAGAUCUAAGGGAUGUAAUGAGACACCAGCACCCUCUCCUCCCUGCAGCCCCCAGCCCAAGCCCUCCGCCUUGCCAGCCCUUCCCGGCUGUCCCGCUCCUGGGGGAGGGAGGGCACCCGACCUGGACGGUCCUCCUGGGAGGCAAAUAUUGAAUGAGGUGGUGAACGUUGCUUUGGACAAACUCGCUCAGGAAAAUUCCUUCAGGGUUUUAGCUUGCUGGUCUGUAAAGGGAAGUUGUGAAGGUCAAACAUGUUUCAUGUCGUUCUUCUGUGUGCUCGGACUGACCAGAUCCGCAUGCACUUGGGAGAGGACACAGCACUGCCUACCCUAUCUGCAUGAGAAUAAAAGCUCUCCUGCGAAAAUGCGUAUGAUUGCUUUUUGGAAGAGAUGUAAAAUGGAGGUCUUAGCCAUUUGUGGUCACUGAAGAUCCCAUGGCUUCUUUUCAGAAGAUCGGAGCCAUUAGCCCUGGUGUCUUGGCUCCCUCCAGCCCCACUAACUGCUGCUCACCUGAUGCUGGGACCUUCAUUUGGGGCCACUUUCUGCCCUGCCUGUCCCAGGGCUGUGCAGUUCCAUCAGUGGCCAGGGCCCUCCCACAAGAAGGAAGUCUUCAAGAAAAUUCCACUUUGAGUGAGAAAAAUUCCACAUCAGGAAUGUUUGCUGGGACCCCGAGGGAUGCAAAUGGCCCUAAGACUCCAAAGAUGCCCAUUCCCAGCCAUUGUCUGAGAAGAGUACCCAGCCCAGGCUCAUCCCACACAGCUGCAGUGGUUGACUAUUAGCUGGGAGUGCAGCUGUGUGUCUACAGGGUCAGCUCUUGUCCAAAUAGGAAAAAGACCCUGCCAUUUGCUUCCUGAUGCAGAAGUAUCUGAAAAAGGCGCUUGGCAAACAAAAUUGGAGAUGUCUGCUCUUCUCUCUUGCUUUGCCUCUCUCCAUGCUGCAGCCAGAAGGGAUGCUGGGAAGCAGGAAUGCUACUUUUGCAACCUGUUUUCAGGAGAUCCCAGCUUGGGUGUUACAAGGGAGCUGCAGACAGGAAUGACUGAAGGAGAACAAAAGUCAUACUCAAAUGGCUUAGGUAGCAAGAAAGAAUUUUCCUCCAAGACAGUAUUCUGAAGCUUUGCCAAGGAAGAUGGGUAAUGUCCUUCAAUCAUCUUCACUCCUCCUGCUUUGCCUCUAGCCCUGGCUAUUCUCCACUGCGGUCUGCUCACCCUCCGGGCAGCAUGGGAGGUAAGGACCCAUAUCUGGUUUGUUACCAGGUUUUCCUUUGGUUCCAUUUCUUUAUCUCUGCACCUUAAAUGUGUCCUCAUGGAACCAUCUGCCUUUGUUAGGAGUUUCCUGAACUCCACACAGUGCCAAAGCUGGAAGGGACUUCUCCCAGAGCUCAGUGGGCAUUUCGCUUCUGAGGCAGCUGGAAGGCUGCCUGUCAUGGUUCUUCCAUCUCCUCUCCCGGGGGAUUUUCCCCCUCUCAGGUUCAAGGUGGAGAGGACAUUCCCUGCUAAAUCAGUCCUGGCGCACAGCGCACAAUGGCAUGCAGAGCCAACCGCAGGUAACAAAUUGCGUUGCAAUAAAUGAAGGGUUUGGAGCCAGACAAAAUGUGCGACAUUCGAAGUUCUCAGCUCUCCUCCCUCAGAAAGGCAAUCUGUGACUUCUGGGCCCUCCUUAAUGACCCAGAGCCGGAUGGAAAAUAAUAUUAAUAAUAAUAAAAGAAACAAAGAAGGGGCUGGCGCAUUUUUUAAAUAAAGAAAUUUCCCUCAUCUUGCGGUUAAUUUAAAAGGUUUAUUUCUUGAAAUGAAUCCUCUUCAUCAAAUCUCCGAUCCUUGAAAAUCAGUGCAACCUGCCUCUGUGGAUAAUGAAUUGAUUUGUAAUGUAAAUUAUAUAAAACACCCUCCCCGCCAGCAUUUGUGUGUGAGUGUGUUUAAUCUAAAGCGUUUAAGUCUGAAAAUGAGCUUCUCCAUCAAAAGUCUCGAUUCCAUUUACAUUUCUUGCAUACGAGUCAAUUUGUGUCUGACCCAGUCUAUAAAUCACUGCCAAGGAGUGCUGUGUCUGUACCUCUCCUCUUCCCCCACCCCCUCCCCUCAUCCUUCCAUCCUUGCACAUGCUAUCUUCAAAACGGCAUCUUCAGAUGCCGCCUGUAAACAGCCCCCAUUCUUUGGCCAAAUGCUGGCUAGAGGAUGAGGGACCCUGGCCCCAAGAGGUGUGCAGUAUGGGCAGCAGCAGCCAGGCGAGAAGUCCUGCUCUGCUGCCAGCUGCUCAGGAAGAGUCUCCCAGGGGAAGGUGCCCUCUCUCUCGGUGGCUCCUUUCCAACACGUGGUUGCUUGGCCACCAAAGGAGUCCAUGGCUGAUGCAUGUUACAGGUUACGACCAGGUCUUCUGCAAGUGUACAUUAACAUGGCCUUGGAAAAUCCACCGAGUGGGAAUCAUUUACACCACCAGAGUCUUUGUCUCAGUCUUUGUCUCCCCACGUUUCCCAUCAUGCCAACAUUCAUCCUUUACCUCGUCCUAUUGGAAUACCUCUUUAGCUUUCCUUCUGCGUACUGAAACCAGUGGACCCCCCCUUGCUGGUUGGAUCUCUGUAUGGUAAGUUCUCAAGACCCUUUGGAAGAGCAGGGAACAUGCAAACAGUAAUAUCUUUAUCUAGAGGGUCUUGUGGCAUCUGCGUGAUAGUAUUAAAGGUGGCUUAGUAGUGAUGCACCUGAGGACAAGCAGGCCAGGAGGUCAUUACUUCAGGUCCCUUCUAUGAAGCAUCAGCAGUUCUAAGGCUGUGAAAUGCAGCUUUCACAGGGCUAUGUUCCAUGGCUAACACAGAAUGCGAAUGGGACCAACAGCCCAUCAUUGACUCUGGUGGGGAAUUUUCUGACACGCUUAUUUUUCUGCUCUAUUUUUUUUCCUUCAGGAAAGACACAAUUGAAACUGAUUUCUAACGUUGGGAGAAAAAUGGAAUCAAGUUUGGGAAUACUUCAUGAGUCCAAAUUUGAAGAAAUCCAAUAUAUUGGUGUGAAACAGCUUACUGCUCUAGUUGAGGUAUGGAUGCAGUAAAAAGAAAAUUGAAAUCUGAAAUAACGAUUAGGAAAUUGCUCAAAACAAGUUGAGUUUGAUCAACUGAUAUUUCCUGGUUUUGUUUUGUUUUUGUUUUUUUUUAAUUUGAAGGGUUGGUGUUGGCUGGCUGGCUGCCUGGAGUUAUAAUGGUGAACUUGCAAAACUGUUUAAGACUCAUGAUGGAAAAUAUUUUUGAAUUCUAAAAAUUUGUUCAAAGCAAGGAAACAAUUUCCUACCCAAAUUCCACUAAUUCUUUCACAAGCAGUGAUUUUUUUUUUUUAGCAGACAGAUUAAGAAAGUCCAGGACAGAGGGCUGGAAUCACAUCUUCGCUGAUAGAAAAUACAUACUGGAAUAGUGCAGGAUUCUCCCUGGGUUUGGCAGUCUGGGGCAGGGACUGUUGCAGAUUUACUCAGAUGAGAACACAGAACACAUCCAGAUCUCCAAAAGAGCAUGAGAUGAAGAACAGGACCAGCAGUCACAUGCCCUACCUGCAGCCAUUGGUGUCCUCUCUCUGCAAACUUUGACCUUCCCAAAUUCUGCUCUCUCUGAGCCAUCCCAGCAGAGGGGGAUUCAAUCCUUUGCCACUGGCUACUUCAAAAUGGGGAAGUGAAACAUCAGACAAGUGAUGUGAGAACUCAGCUCGAGCUGGAAAGUCAAUCUGAGGUGAUGGUCUUCUGAAAAGCCUCAGUUCACAGACCUACUACUGGUAAGGUGUUUCCUCUCUGUGCCUUGUUAUUUACCUUUGAAAAAGGGUUAAUGCUUGUUUUCUCCUAGAUUUUCAUACUGUAGAUAUAAGGUCUUUAGUGCACGGUCUGUAUGUUACUGUAUGAGCAUACAGCUCCAAGCACAACAGGGAUUCUGGCCUGGGAGAGGCCCUUACAAACUGCUCUAAUACAAAUAGGAGGAAGAGUUUUUCCUCGAGAUUACCCCGGGGGGAUUGAGGUCAGACCUUCAGUGAAGGAAGACACAAACCUAUUACCAGUUUCUGUGGGGACUAAUACAGUUUGCACUUCGUUAGAGGAAUUCAAAGUGAUUCGUACACAUUAAUUACUCCUUGCAGCAUCCCAGCUGGAUAAAUAUUAUUACCUUCAUUUUACAGAAAGCGUAACUGAGAUGUAGAGAAGUUCGUUUGUUUGACUCCAACUGUACAGCACGCCAACGGCAGAAGCCAGGAAUAAAACAUGAGAGAGGACUGCCAGUCCCACCUCCCUCUAAACUAUGGGUCCCAAAUCUUUUUUGCCCAAGUGAAGGGAGCAGCUGCAUCCCCCGGCUGGGCUGGGCACUGCCAUGAGGGCUCUGCACACCGAGAGCAGUGCAUGCGGCACCGCCUGGGAGGCACCGCUCCAAGCCUCAGCCUGCAUCGCCUUGCACAGACAGGAGGAGGAAAUGAAAGUGCAAUUAGCUGGAAACAAAUGAAUUCGUGUUGCAUAUAUUUCCCAAGCUGAUGGGUUGGUGAAUGAACCACUCGUUAUUUCAUGAAGCAGCAUCUUUAAAGGUCUGUAGAACAACUUGGGAAAAACACAGCCUUGCUGUUGUGACAUUUUUUGCAGUAUUUCCAAGCGCUGUCUGUCCCGGUUGCAGGCAUUGGUGCUUCCAUAUUUGCAUAUUUUUUUUCUCAUCAAAAGGAAUUGUUGAAGUUUUGUAGUUGUUUUAACUUCUCGCCUUGGAUAUUUCAGUUCUUCACAUAACCACAUUUUCAGUGUCAGCACGUGGCCUAGAAAGAAAAUAUUUGGUACCUUAAAUACCAAACUCUCUUCUGUCCUAUUUUCCCACCUUUCCUAUACUAUACCGUUGCUUAACAAUAAGUGCUCUCCUCUCCAAAAGGAACACUUCUUUAAAGCCAAAGGGAUUUAAAGAGGAAAGAGAGAACACAAAGCAGAAACAAAAAUACAGAACAAAAGAGCAUAAAACCGCGAGUUGGUUUUGAGUUUGAACUACAAUUUCUUCUUAUGAUUACUGGGGAAAAAAAUAACAUACCUUAAAGAAAAGAUUCCUUUUUUUUUUUUUUUUCCUACAAGAAAAUCUAUGCAUCCAGAAAUUUCCCAACCAUUUAUAAUCUGUCGCAUUCCCCUGUGUGGUGAGCAGAGGCACUCGGUAUUCCUCUGCCGCGGCAGAUGAUAGGCUCAGAAGAUGAGAGCAGAGUGAUGAAGUGUGAGACCAGAAGUGUGAGCUUCCCAAAGGUGACAAAAUGGGUUCUCCAGGUGAUGGCAUGGGAAACGAGCAAAGCAUGGACUUGAAAGUUUGAGCGCUUACUGUAUCCAAAACAGACUGAAAACCUAGGAACGAAGAGCCAAGAGCUGGACAGAGGGAGACAGAGAGCCCCUGUUGGUUCAGGAGCCCACUAGCUUACCCAUGGCGGUACAGUGGGGCUGCACAAGGAGCCGGCAAUGGGCAAGACAUGGAGGAACAUGGAGGCAACAUUUCCUGAAACACAGCUACUUCUGGGAUGGAAAAGCAUCAGUCAUCACACAGCAGGAUUUCUUGGAGGAGAAAUGAUAACUCUUUUUUUUUUUUUUUUUUCUCCCAUUUGAACUGCAGGCUGGAAUAUAGGCCGGCAGAAUGUAAUUAUCCAGGCUGGAAUUUGGCCAAGACGCUGGGGCUAACAGCCCUACUGUUUCAAAAUAUGCCACAGUACCCUAAAUGAUCACAUCUUGCAGGAUUUGAUUUUGCAUUUCAUCCAAAACAAUGUUGGGAAGGGAAGGAGGAGAGAGGAAUGAACACAAAGCGGUCCCAUCUAACCCCGUAUCUGCUGGAAGUUUAGCCCAGAGCAGCUCCUGACAUUCACUUUCAUUUUCAGUGAAAACAUUGAAACAAGACUGAGUUUUACUCCUUUUGUAAAUUCUCCGCAAGCAGUUUCCAGCCUCCUCGGUGAAAAAAAUACAUCAACUUUCAGAAGGUAAAACUACAAUAAAGCAAGACAUUUCCAUUUAAAAGAAAAAAAAGGAAAAGAAAAAAAAAGGGAGAAGGGUAUUUCUUUCCUCUACAACAAUAUUUGAGAGAGACCUUCUCUUUUCCCUUUUUCUUUUUUUAAAGCCUGUUAGGAAAGAGGAUUAAGAUAGCUAAUGGGCGGCUUGUAUUGGCAAACAAAACUAACACCCAGACGAUUCUUUGCAUGCACAAGUGGCAGGCCCUCCAUUAGGAGAGUGGCACUGACCGCGGCAGGAUGGAGAGCACUGAGCCGCGGGGUAAACAAACCUCGGCCUGGGCCCGUGUGUGGCUCUGCCCGGAGCCCUGCCAUGGUCCUCCCCAGAUAGCUCCAAAUGGUCUCUGUUGUUUGGAAUGCUAUGCAAAUAUUGGCAGAAGCACGUACCGCGGAUCCGACCACAGCCCAACUUCGGGGAACGCAGCGUCGGGAUUUGCCGUUGCUCUUUUUUACUUCAGUGAAUAAAGUUUAUUUGCUGAAUGAACGGUGCCCGCAGCUGACAGGCUGCUGGCUAGCUCAUGCCGAAUUUGGCCAGUCACCCGCCAACAGGGAAAAUCUAAAUGGAAAUGGCAAUUUUGAAAAGUCAAAAGGUUUCGCUUUAUACGUCGGGAAAAGAAUAAUUGCAAUUGAUUUUUCAUGUUGAGAUGGUCUUCCCUGUGCGAAAUAGCUGCUUUUUUAGAAAAGACAGUGGCCAUCAACGUAUCUCAUUCGGCCUGGAUAACUUACAGCGCCCUUCUGUUUUACUGAAAUAUCUCAGGAAAAAAAAAAAACCCUCCUCAGGUUAGCCAGAAAAAGCCAAAACUGGAUUUUCAGUUGGACAAAUGGAAGAAAAAGUAAUGAUUCUCAAAGUCCUAAUGAACCAACCCAGUAUUGUACUUGGUGGCACCUCUUGACGCUUGCUAAAGUCAGCUCUCAUCAUGAGCCUUGCUUUAAACCUCCUCCAUGUAACAUCACACACCUGCAGACAAGAGAGUUUUCUCUGCCAUCAGUCCCAGUAAGCAGCCCUCCGACCCGAGCAUGCCAGCUCCAGCACCUGCAGCAACAGAGGGAUGUUCAGAAGCCAGUUUGGGUGUCAGAGCUGCCAGGAGCCCAGAGGAGAGCAUGGAGCGUCCUAUCAGCUCUGUAUAGGAACCAAAACUGCCUGGCUCCCUCCUGGUUUCCAUCACAUCUCUCUCUACCAUCUUGUAAAGAAGGAAGAUAAACUGAAAUUCAGGAAACAUCAAGUUCAGUUUUUAAUUUGUAGGCAAUUUGUAUUUUACUACUGAAUAUCAAGGUAAUUCCUUUGAUUUCCCAAAAAGAUAAGCAGAUCCUAAAAAGCAGUGUGUCUUUUAGAAAGGAUAUCUGACAGGCAGCCUGCACCACAAGCAAACGAUUCCCACGUUGUGAUACGUAAUGCCCAGUAAGUUCUGCAUGAGAGCUGGAGCUGCCCACUGCACAAACACAAUUCUGCCUGCCGAGCGCCCCGCUCAUUCAUGGUACCUGUUCUGCAGUUUUGUUCCUGUUCAGAAAAAUACCAAGCCUCUUACUUGACCGAUGCGGUGCCACAGGCAGUCUGCAAACACAAACACCCUUGUUUGGAGAAGAUACGCCCUGGCUGAUUUGAAAAAUCCCUAAGCAAUGCAUUCAAAAUGAAUCAGAUUUGAUUCAUGACCGAUUGAGUAAGGGCAGAGAAUGGAGGGCCCGGCACGGGUACACAAACGUGGACGAUCGUACGCUCAGUUCACUGCAGCGCAUUGUGCGCCUUCUUCCAUUUCCCUUCUUGUGAAAUUCCCAGCGGGACACUUUCCUGCGAGGGCUGUGCUGCGAGGCAGAGGGCACCAAGUGAACAUGGGAGCAAAAUCACAAAGCCACGUCCAUGGGAUUCCCUGUUGCGGCUGAAGGUGCUGACCCUGGGUUUGUGCGUGCACGUGUGUUUGCACGCUCCGGUCGCACACACACGGGAGCACGCACGCACACUGUGAAAACGUAUGUGCAUAUAUUCCCAUAUUCACAAUGAAUUGUUUAUGAGCAAGCUAUCAAGAAGGAGUUUUCACUGAAAUUAUUCAGUGAAUGACUUCAGACAAUGAAUACAUUGCAGGAAAUGGCGAUUGGCUCCAGAGCAAUCCACGAGCAGAAAAGGAGGCAAAAGCAGUUGAAUAAAUGGGCGGCUAUGAAUUACUCAUUUAGCUGCAUUAUCUUAUUGUGGUCCCAAUUCAGCAAAUGCCUAAACAUCCACUUCCCAUUAAGGGCAUGAAUAGUCCCAUUGAUUCAAUAGGGUUAUUUUCUCUGCCUUCCGUGGGGCAACUCGAAUGCUUAAAUUUAAGCAAGUGCUUAAAGUGCUUUGCUGAAUCAGGAGGUAUGUCCACGCUGUAUAUACCUGUGUUAUACAGAAGGUCAGAUUAGCUGAUCAAAGAGUCCUUUAUGCUCUUAAGAUCUAUAAAUCUGUGAAUAUAACCAGCCUUUGCUGGAAUUGCUCCUCCAUAACCUUCCCGAGCACUGAAAUUCAUCCACACCCCAAAAAUAUUAAUAAAACACUCUGUGCUUAACUCUUUUCAUAUUAUACUAAGUACGCCACUAAAUAAACCUCUUAAUAUUCCAGUAUAUUUUGCAAUGAACAUUUUCCUGGUACGCUAGAGCGAUUCCUCCUUUUGUGCCAUCCAGAACACAAUCCCCAUGAAAUACUGCAGUAAACAUUUCUCUGAGUACUACAGCAAACACUACCAGCAUUAGCAGAUUAACCAUUCCACUGAGCGCCAUAUUAAGCACACAUUUAAAUACUGAGAAAAGACGUAUAGCCUCCUCCUUCCACCGCGCCUCGUUACCCUGCCGAGAUCCAUAUUUCUCGGCAUCCCCACGCGUACCCGCGCUGCUCCCGCUCCUCUCUUUCUCUCCUCCUUGUUUUGUUCCUCCUGGGAGUGCUCUUCUGGCUGGGGAAAUCUUUCUUGGGGCAGAGGGGGGACGAAGGGAGGGCAGAUUGGCGCAUUGUUCAGCCACAGAAUCGACAGCGAAUCCACACUGCGUGCGUGGAAGUCUCUGCUCUGAUGAAGUCUGGUGGUGGAGAAAGACAGGUUACCUGCUGGUCUCCCUCCCCUGACCAAAAGAAGUACGCAGUACUCUGAAGUAGCAGGUCUUCCCUAGUGCAGUUUGGAGUUAUAAAGCAUUGUUUGGGUUUUACAGGUAUAUUUUAAUGUCAGUGAAAUUGCCAAGCACAACACCUUCAGUGGAUUCAUCCUCAGCAAGUGUUUAAGAGCCAUUGACUCGUCUCUUGUUGCUGACAAACCAUCUAGAUUCAACCCAUGGUUCUGCUCAGCUUUUCUCCUUUCCCUCCUCUCUCUCUUUCUCUCUCUUUUUUCCUCUUUUUUUUUUUUUUUUUACUAGCAAUUUGAUGUUUGAUCAUUUGAGGCAAUGAGGCGGAGGGUAAUUUACGUUAUCAGGGAGGUAUGAGGGGUGCUGGGAACCCAGACGCAAGGCCCAUUCGCCUGCUAAAGCGCCAUCGUAAUGUAAUGAGACUCCAGUCAAGUGCAGCUAGUAAUGGAGAGGAACGUUUCCCAUUCAUCUGCCUACCUGAGACUCCACGAAGACGACAAUAACUUUUGCACGGGAGGAGCAGGGGGGGACACGGUGAAGGGGGGGGCCGGUGUCCCCACGGCACAUCUCGCUCCGGCUGGCAGAGAACUACCAUGGCCUCACUCUGGGGAGCAGAGCAACACGGCUGUGAGCUGCGGAGCAGGUUGUUGGGUGGCUCAGCCUCCCCAUCUCGGACAUCCAGCCCACACCUGGCUUUGGUCCUGACCCAUAGCCCCCUAUCCUGGCUGUAGACACACUCUUGCCUCUGUAGCACCUCUGUGAUGGGGCCUUGGAAGUGGUACCGAUAACCACGUGCCCACCACCAGCACGGACAGCAAUGCACACACUCAAGUUCUCGCAAGUGGCCCUGCUGCUCUGCACACUUUAUUUGUAGGCCGAGGGUAAUUAUAGCUGGAGGGAACCUCCUGGAUGCAGGCAGACCUCCUGGCACUGACGGCCCAGUGCAUAGCAAAGGGUGGGUGGCAGGGGAGAGACACGGGGGCAGGAGAGAUUUGUUUCCUCUCUGUCCCAAGCUGGCUGCUUGUUCCCAGAACGCAGCCUGAGAAAGGGAGCGGGGAGCCGCCUGCUCCCCCUCACCAAAUUCCUGCCGCACGGACCCUUCCAAUUAUACCCACGUCUGAAAGGCUGCUGUCAGGAUGAAAGGCAUGGAGCAGUAAUGAACUGACGAUUAAUUUGCAGUUGGCUCACCCAGCGCGCGAUCCUCGCUCAGGCUCGCUGCGUGCGGGUGCUAAAUAUGACGAUGUCAGCAGUUGUCAGCCAGAGCUGGGGCUGCCCCUCACAUCAGCCUCUCCCUGCCACGGGCUCCAGCCUGGCCCCGGCUUCCCAGCCCAGGCAGCCCUGGGCCAGCCCCGCAGCAGCCACAGCAGCAUGUGGAAGGGGCCCCAUUGCCUGAAGGCCUGUGCAAUACACUUCACAUCCCUUGGUCACCAGAUGAUCAUCUACAUUAUUAGAGUUGGCUUCCAGUUACCACGAUGGGAUCUAUGGGGAUCAGUUACUGUGCUGGCAACCCUGUCCACAGCACUGGGACUGGAACUAAAUGAUCUUAAAGGUCCCUUCCAACCCAAGCUAUUCUGUGGUUCUAUGAUUCUAUGAUCUGAAAGAUAGGCGCACCUUGAGUACGGACAUCUACGGCUUCAAAGAGCUGAUUAGCAGAAUAUGAAAGCCAGCUGCAAAUGCCAGGCUGAAAAGCCUGGAUUUAUAAACCAAUCACUGUACCUUCCUGAUGCAAACACUGAAGCAUACAUAUAUCUAAUCAGUGUCUAUCCCAGAAUGUGCAUAACAACACCAACACCAGCAAUUACAGUUGUGGGAUACUUACGCAGCCUGUGUGCUCUAAUACCAUAGAGUCAUAGAAUCACAGAAUCAUUAAGUUUGGGAAAGGCCCAUAAGACCCUAUAGUCCAAUUGUUCACCUAUCACCAAUACUGCCCGCUAACCACAUCCCUCAGUGCCACAUCUCCACAUUUCCUGAACACCUCCAGGAACGGUGACUCCAUCACCCCCCUGGGCAGCCUGCGCCACUGCACUACCACUCUUUCUGAGAAGAAAUGUUUCCUAAUAUCCAACCUGAACCUCCCCUGCUGCAACUUAAGGCCAUUACCUCUUGUCCUUUUGCCCCACCUGGAGCUGGUCUGCACCUUCAUCAUGGAGACACAGACAGGCUGCCUGACAGAUUCUUCCCCUUAGGACACUUUUUCUUAGGAAGAUUCACAUCUGAGCUAUCUGUGAAUUCAUGGCAUUUUCAGCAGCUUGUGCUGUUCAAAGUAGCAAAACUGAAGCCCUAGAAAAAAAAUACUCCAGAAAACUGGGUGCCUUCUCUUUUGACACAUCCUGAAAAAGCCUUCUGAUCGCUGGUUCAGAAUGACAUUUCCUUUCUAAUGUUAUUUGGAUUCUAUUAGACAAUGUUUACAGAGCUCAGUCACCAAAAUAAGCAUUCUUUUUCACAUUGAACAAGACAUUUAAUUUGAACAGAACUGAUGACUUUUUGUCCUCCCCCAGCCUGUUGAUUUGCAAAAAAAAGAAAGCUUCAGUGGAACCAAAACAAGAUUAUGGCCAGGUACGUGCAUCACUGAAAUUGCCUGCAACGCGUAAAUCUGCUGUUUGCCCACUCCCACUACACACAUAAUUUUGUUUUAUCACUUACAGUCCCGGGGUGCUCACACAACUUGGCAGUCAGUUUCCCAGCAUGAAAUCGCACCUGUCUGGAAAAAUGCAAGGAAUAUAGAGCGGCAGAACAACAUACGAAGGUUUUCCUCUCACUUGCUCAUUUCCUUGCAUGUGACCCUGAGAUCAGAAGACAGAUAUGCCACAAACUGCUGUAUCUUCUCAGAAACUUGUGGCAUCAACACCCAGUAGUAACAAGGCUUCCUCCCUUUGCAAGAGCUUGCGGUCUACAGCACCACAAGUCAGAAUGGACCUGCCUCCUCCUACAUCACUUUUUCUUGUUAGAGAGGAUUCAGCGAGCAGAGCUGGGCCACAUUCUCCUCUGCUGUACUACUCACAGCAACUGCAGAGUGACUCUCUGCAGGACAGUUGAUACAGUGCAGCCUUAGGCAAAAGCAAUCCCACCUGUGUCUUGGCGUCUUCAUGCUUGCACAGCACAGACAGAGAGAACUUCAUAAGCCUCCUGGAAGAAGAAGAAAGGAGACAACACACAUGUUCAACAGAUUUGGCGCUCCUCUGAUGGAAGCUGGUACAUGGCAAGAGGGCAUGCCUCCACCGUUUCCAUAAAGCAAUGAGUCACUCAUCAGAAAUCUCCCUCCGCCUCAUUAGGGAGGUGAAUGGCAGAGGAGGAUUUCAACACUUCCUAGUUUGGAGAUCUGACUUCUGAACAAGAUGCUGUCUUAUCACGAUGUGAACUUCUACAGGUGAGUUUUAAAAGGCUCCAUUUAUACUUACUAUGUUUUCUUCCAAAAUGCUGUCAGGAACACUGAUUUUUCUUCCCCCCUUUGCACUUUAUAUUUCUGUUUUAUUACAUAGCCCUUAGAAGACUGCAUGUUUUUUUUUUGCUAAUGGAAGGAAAUUUCUAGAAACUUACUCUACAGCUUGAUUUAAAACAUUAUAAAGCAGAAGAUUAUUUGAGUUGAUUUUUUUCCUGCCUGUUAAAAGAAGGAAAAAGGUGAGGGUUUAUUU